ACAUUACUGCGGCCAUGCCAGUCGUGUUGCGGCAAGCACGCGUCAGUAAAAGCUCCCUAUCCUAGAGCUAACUUAGUGCCACUAAUUCUAGUUUUAUUUACAAGGAAAAAUGGCGGCGGAAGGCGGAACACCAGGCGGCUUGGCUCCAGCAGAACCACAAACUGGGCCAGAUGGAGAGAUCAUUGGAGGACCUCGAACGCCACAGCAGAUUGCAGCACAGAGGAGGCUGCAACAGACUCAGGCACAAGUCGACGAGGUGGUUGAUAUAAUGAAAACGAACGUUGAGAAGGUGUUAGACAGGGAUGCAAAGUUAUCAGAAUUAGACGACAGAGCAGAUGCACUUCAGCAAGGAGCGUCGCAGUUUGAGCAGCAGGCAAAGAGUUUGAAAAACAAAUUUUGGCUACAAAAUCUUAAGAUGAUGAUCAUAAUGGGUGUCAUUGGAAUCGUUAUAAUAGGCCUACUGUUUGGUGAUAACAUUAAACAAAUGUUUGGUUAGUUCGAUACCGUGGCACACCGAAUGUGGCCGGCGUAGUCACUCCGGCUGUAACCGGCAAUGCUACUGCAGUUAUUACUCAUAAUAAUUGAAAAUACAUGUAACCAUUCAUCGCAGGAUCUCUUCUUCUAAAGAAUGUAAUUACAAUUAUUAAUAAAUCUGUAAAACAAUAUAAUAAUAAACAAAUGAACUGUAGAACCUAGCAUAGAAAUACGUGUACGGUUAAAAGAAAAUAUAACUAUACAGAAUAUGAAAACUAUGAAAGCUGUAAACUAAAAUGCUCAGCAUUUAGAUAUUGUACAAUAGCUUUUUACAUAAACAGAAAACUAGAGAAAAUGUCAUUGAAUAUUUAUCAGACUUUACUUUGGUUGUGUAAAUAAUAUCUAACUUUUAUUAAUAAAUCAAAAACAAUUUUACUGAAAUCUGUACCUAAGUAAUUUAUUUAUUUAAAAAUACAACAGGGGCAUAAUAAAAUCAAUGAAAAUUUUAAAAUAAUUUAUAAUGAAAUAGAUGUUAUCUGGUAUAAUAAAAUUUCAUAUUGUUUUGGUCUCACGGCACAAUAAUAAUUCGAUGCUAGGUACUUAUAUUAAUAGUUACAUUAAAAUGUAACGUUUCGUCAAAUUAAUCGAAAUAUCUUCAUGCGUUGUAAAUAAGAAGCGCUAAAGUAGAAAAGUUUAUUUCCGUGCCUUGACUUUAUCUGUAAUUUGUGAUAUCGUAUUGCAUUGUAAUUUAUUAAUUGUUAAAUCAAAUUGUAAUUAAAUGAAUGUACUAUUUGCAAAUUAAGUAAGUUUCAAUAUCGGCCUACGAAAUUAGUGGUUUUGUUUGAAGACUUUAAAACUAUUUAAAAUAUUAUGUUUCUUAAUAUUGUUCUAGUAAUUAAAUUAUUAGCAAUGAUUAAUAGUGAAAAAAAAUUGAUAAAUUAAAGGAAUACGAAAAACGCCAAAAUUUAAUAAUUUUAGAAGUAUGGAAUUAAAUAGUUAUUAGGAUUAAGAAGUUCCAGUUCGUUAAUUAAUUAUUAUUAUUAUUAUUACUAAUGAUGCGAAUCUGAUUUAACUAUAAUUUUAAUUUAGCGUUAUAUAACUUUUAUUAUGAUUUAAUAAGGUAGGUUUGCAACGCACAAACGAAAGAAAAAACAAGUUAAUUUUAAUUGCAACGAAAUAGAGACAUUAUUUCAAUAUUGUUUGUACGAAUCAACUAUUAUGUUCUAGCGUAAUUCACAUUUAUAUUAUUAUUGUUAAGAUGAAGCAGACAAUAUAUUAUGUAUUUAAAUCAAUUAUGUUUCUACGGACAAAUAUAUGAUCUCAGAAUUUGAUUGCUCAGCACAUUUUUCUAAUCGUGCAAUUUUACCGCUUUAAUGUAAUUAUUUUUUCUUAAAAAUUUUGUGCUAUAAAUAUUUCUAACUGUGCACACUAGUAAUUAUUUUCUUUUGUUUGAAACUAGCUUACAAGUUUAGUGCUUUUCACCUCAAUCCGAUGAAUGAUGCACGAACACAUAGGUAACGAACAGACACACAGAUAGACAGACAAACAAAAAUUUUUAUAUACUUAUAAGAUUAAUCAUAGCACAAAUUUUUAAAAAUAAGUUCGGAUAAACGGGUUUAGAUACUUGUGAAGCGAAUGUACAAAAGGAUAAACUUUAUUUUGUUUAAAGUAUUAUGAGUUUCGUUUAGAUUCCAAAAUAAAUAUUUUCUUCAAAAAAAUAACGUAGGUAUGUGGUAAGUAUAGUGAAUAAAGAAAGCUAGAUAUAAUAUCGGAAAGAGGGUAAAUACUGAGAGAGAAAAAAAUAAUUUAGGAAUUAUUUCCAUUUUGGCCUUAUUUAUUGUUAGUGUUUUAUGUUACAGUUGCGAACAUUGCUUUGUGUGAUACCUUCGUUUUAAAAUAUGAUUUCAAACAUAGAGACGAUACCAGCAACGAAGCCAUUAACUUUUACAAGUUAUUAUUACCAAAUUAAAAUAUUAAAAAUAUUUAUCAGAUGUAAAAUGAUAAUUAUAGGAAUAAAAUUGGAGAUUUUAUCAUUUAAUAUAUGAUAAUCAAAAUAAUUUAAUAUCUGAUAAUCAAUUCUGGAAAUUAUCAUUUACCAAAUAAAUAUUGAAUAUUAGGAGGGCAUCACACUAAGUAAAACUUUAAUUAAUUCUAAGUAUAUUUAAAUAUUAAAUUAGCAUAUUAUUUACACCUACGGGAAAGGAAUGGUGCCAUUGACAAUAUUAGUUAUUUUAUCAAAGAAGGAUUAAAAAUUUACACAUAAUUAAUUAUUAAAUUAUUUCCUAGCCAUUUUACUAACGCUUAAGACUUUACUAUCUUGUGCAUAUUUUUUACACUAAGCAUAAUACUUAAUUGUUACCUAUACUUUAUUUUAUUGGAUUAUUGCUAGCAAUUUUAUGAUUGAAAUUAUGUACAUGUAUUUAAAAUUUAAAUAGGUAGUCUGAUUUUAUUACCAGAUAUUUAUUAUUUUAUUUUAAAGAAUUAUCGAGACAUAAUUUUAAUUUCUUAUGUGAAUGAAACUUUGAAUUUGUUGUUCGUAUGUAUUAUGAAAAUCUUGAUAAAUUUAUUAUUGCAAAAUAUAUAAUAUUACUAAACAAUUGCACUCUUAUCACUAAGAUUUUAAAUUAAGGUGUUCAAUGUGAAACCAUGUUGUCUUUUUCUGAAAUGGCAAGUUAUAUUGGUUUCAAUAAAAGAAUUAGAAAAAAUACAAGCAAUGUUUCACAUUAAUUGAAAUGUUUUUUUUUUUUAGUAAU